GUAGUCGCCCGGGACGCCGCAAGGCCUCCCGGGUAACCUACCACCCUUUGUUUAUUACACUUUGUUGCUUUGGCAGGCCUGCCCUCGGGCUGCUGGCUCCGGCCGGCGAGCGCCUGCCAGAGGACCUAAACUCUGUUUGUCUAUACUGUCUGAGUACUAUAUAAUAGUUAAAACUUUCAACAACGGAUCUCUUGGUUCU
rnacentral:misc_RNA from 1 species